rnacentral:lncRNA from 1 species
GCAAGAAAUAAUAAAUAAAUAUGGAUCACUUUAGGGGUGAUUCAACCCUUUUACAAAGAUAAAGAGAAAAAUAAGAUAAAAUCUUACAUCCCAACCUAAACUAAUCUCUCAACAAAAGUUGUCGACUAACCCAAAACCUAAGAAUAUCACUUACACAAUAACCCACCCUUGGCAGCAGUCAGAGUAUACCAACACAUCAAAAUCCCAAAGAACAUAAAAUAAAAACAAACCAUCAAGCACAAAUCUCCAAGAAAUAGAAGAACUUAAAAGACUCCUCUUUACAACUAACACAACAACCAUGUAACUCACUACCUCAACAAAAAAACCAAAGAUAAUCUUUUUCACUUCACAAAAACUCCUCCUCAUAGUCACUUAAUCCAAGAACCAAGACAUAACCUCCAAACUAUGUUUAAGACAAUUCUGCAAAACACGCAACUUCCUUCUUACAAAGGAGUUAGAGAAGCAUACCAAAGAAAUAGAAACAAAUUUAAUUCAUAGUUUUCAUACAUACCAGAGGUUCUAAACACCAAUCAAAAUAAUAGAAUUCUGCAUCUUUUUCUUUACUAGUUAAGCAAGCCCAGGUUUUUCUUUGAACCAUUGUAAACACCUUUAUAUGGUCAACUCUCCCAUUAUUAAAAACACAUCUAUUUCUAUGUUUCUAGAUUUUACCUAUAAUUGCAAUCGACACCACUCCCAAGAUUUUGAGAGUCUAGCCAUAAACAUUCAGAGGGAAGAACAUCAUGAGGUGUAUCUUUGCAUCAUAGUGGUUCACUGACAAACAACCCAACCAAGACAAACACAAACCUCAAAUGUUCCAUACAAUUUUAUACUUAAAAAAUAAAUGACAAACAAUCUCCUCUUCCUCACCACACAACUCACACAAGGAACUUACCAUUAAGACUCCUCGUCUCAAAAGAUUAUCCUUUGUUGCUAUGCUAUUAUUCAACACCCUUCAAGAAGUGAUUUGUGCAAAGGGAAGAGCCUUUACUUUCCAAAACCUUUAUAAUAGAUCCCUAUCCUCACCUCCCACCACUAACUUUAAAGACUUAUAAGCUUAUUUCACUGAAAAACCAAACUGUUUAUCCAAAUCCAACUGUCUGUUACACUUUCUCCCUCCUCAUCAACCUUGUUAUUUUCUAUCAAAAGCAACAACUAAGUGACCUGAUUAUCUUCCCACACAAACAAAUUUCUCCUUCACCCCAACUUCCACUCCCACCUACCAUUGUUCCACUUGCCUGCAUGUAACAAAGUAUUACCAUGUUCUACAGCAACCAAAUAUAGUCUUGGAUAUUUAAACAUUAAUGCUUCAUUAUCAACCCACUUAUCCUCCUAAAUCCUGGUUUCCUUCCCAUCCCCAAUAGCCCAAUUGACUAUCUUCAAACUCACCCCCACCUAUCUGAAUUCCAUAUACUCUUCAAAUUUCUCCACCAAAGAGAAUCCUUAUUAUUUAUGACCGUACUUUUUAACCCCCUACACCCUCCGUACUUAGAUUCCAAGAUUUCUUUCCAUAAGCCAUUUCUGUCUAUUUUGAGAUGCCAGAUCCAUUUACAAAGUAACGCAAUAUUAAAUAAUCUGAGAUCUCUUACCCCAAGUCCACCAUCUUCACUAGUAGCACAUAACCUAUCCCAGGACACCCAGGCUACUUUUUGCCUUUUCGAGCCUCAACCCCACAAGAAUAUUUUCAUCAUUUUUUCCAGUUCCUUCGUGACCAACACAGACAUAUAAAAACAAGAGAUAUAGAAUAAGGGGAUGCAUGUAAAAACUAAUUUAAGCAAGCAGAUUCUCCCUGCCAUUGACAAAAAUUUUCUUUCCACUUCCCCAAUCUUUUCAAGCACCACUCAAAAACCCAAUCUCUUAUGAUUUCCUCCUACUUUCACACCCAGAUAAGUAAAAGGGGCUUUUUUGAUAACACAAUUAAGGACAUAUGCAAACCUUGAAAGUUGAAAAGAGCUAAUACCCUUCCUCAUACUUUACUUUUAGAAUAAUUCGCUUUAAGUCCAGAAGCAAGCUCAAAACACAUCAAAGUAGCCUUAACCGCCAACACACUUUGCAAAUUCGCUUUAUUGAAAAAUAACGUAUCAUCAGUAAAUUGCAACAUACUCACAUUGGUUUUCCUUUCACCAAUCUCAAUGCUAUCUAACAUUCCCUUCUCUUUUUCUUGUGUUACAACAUCUGUCAAACCCUCCGCCACAAUGAGAAAGAUAAAGGUAGUCAAAGGAUCACCUUGUCUCAAACCCUUCUCUGGGAUAAACUCAGUCGUUGGGUUGUCAUUCACCAAGACCGAAACCGAAGACAUUUCUAAGCAAUUUUUAAUCCAAUCAUUCCACUUUUUACAUAAACCUAACCUUCCAAACAUAUAAUAAACAAAAUCUCACCUCACUGAGUCAUAUGUUUUUUCAUAAUCUACUUUGACAUAAACACAACUUUCCUUCUUUCUCCUUAUAUCCUCAAUCGACUCAUUAGCCACCAACACACUAUCGAAAAGGCCCCCUUCUAAUUGAUUAUGUAUAUAAGUUUUAUAAGAUAAUUGAUUAUAUUAAAUAUUUGAUACAAAUAAAAUAAAAUAAAUUAUUAUUAAUAAUAUUACUAUUUAAUAAAUUUAUUUAAUUUAUAUUUAUUAUUAUUAUUUAAAAAAUUUAUUUUAAUUAAUAUUAUUCUUUAUAAUUUUAUUAUUAUUUCAUAAAUUAAUUUUUAAAAUAUUAUUAUUUUAAUGUUUAAAUAUUUAUAUUAUUAUUAUUUAAUUUUAAAAUAAAAUAUAUUAAUUAAUUUUUUUAAAUAAGAAUAAAUUUGUAAUCUUAAUAUUUUAUUAAUUAAAAUUUUAACCAGACUCAUCAUAUCACUUACAAACUUAUUAUAUUUAUGAAAAUUUUCCAUUUUCCAAGAAUGAUAAGAAACUCAUAUUUUUUUUAAAAAAAUUAUUCAACGGUAUUGGAAAUAAUUUACAAAAUUUUAAUUAUCUCAAAUCUACACAAAAACACUUCAUAUUUCAUUAUUCAAAUAUUUUUAAAGACAAAGAUAAAUUUGUAAACUUACACUUUACACUUUUAAAAAAAGAAUAUCAAAAUUUACUCAUAAUCAUCUCAUCAAUCACAAACUUCGAUAAACUUUCCUCUUAUAUUCACUCUAACAUAUCUUAAUACAAACAUACUCACUUUCUUCACAUUUUUCUUUCAAAUUUUCACAUAUUCACUCCCUCAAAUCCCUACACAUCCCCUCCCCAAUCCAAACACACAUUUAGCCUUUGCUCGAAACAAAGAUGAAGAUUGUCAUGAAUUAAAAGGAGAUUCAUUCCUAAUUACCUUUUGUAUAAAAUAAUUCAAUUAAAAAAUGACCGAAUUAAUGAACAUAAAUAAAUCAAUAAAUAAAAAAAUAUCAAAUUAAAACAUAUCUACCACACCAACAUUUAUUCACUUUGAAACAUUAGUGUAGAUAAAUAAAUUAAUAUAUAACCAAACAAAUGAAAAGUUAAAUAAGAAUAAAGAUAUCAAAUGUCUCUUUGUUUUUCCUUUUUGAGAAACAUAUGACACCUUUUCUAUUUAUUUUCCUUCACAAAAACUUUUUUAACUAACACCUAAAUAAUUGAAUCCUCACUUUACAAAGAUCAUCCAAUACCUUCAUUUUUUUUUUCCUUUUUAACAACAAAAACUAAACAAAUUAAAAGAAGAAAUAAUCAAAGAGGAGAAAAUGUAAAAAAUUACCCAAGUCCAAUUGAUGACCUGCUCAAACCAAUAUUCUUCAGAAUAUGCAUCAAAUGAAUCUCUGUUCCUACUGAUAUUAUGUAAACAUCAAGUUCUUCUAAAAACAAGAAAUGAAGAUGAAGAGAUUUUCGAAUACAUGCUGCCACCAAAAUGCUUCUUCCCCUCCAAAUUGCGUUGAAACCAAACCAUUCAUAAAUACAUAUACCACCAUAUCAUGAAACUUGAAACAUGAAACAUGGAACUUGAAACACGUUAAACAUGGUGUUGAAACUUCAAACAUGGAAUGUCACAGUUGUUGUUGGUGUAGCGUAAACGUGUUGCUGGAUUAUGGUGAAGGUGAGAGAUGGUGUUGGGGUCACACACACACAAAAAUAUAUAUAUAUAUGAUAAAGUUCUUUGGAGUUUGUAUUUGGCAUCU